rnacentral:rRNA from 1 species
UACGUAGGGGGCAAGCGUUGGUCCGGAAUCAUUGGGCGUAAAGCGCGUGUAGGCGGCCCGAUAAGUCCGCUGUGAAAGUCCAGGGCUCAACCCUGGGAUGCCGGUGGAUACUGUCGGGCUCGAGUCCGGAAGAGGCGAGUGGAAUUCCUGGUGUAGCGGUGAAAUGCGCAGAUAUCAGGAGGAACACCAAUGGCGAAGGCAGCUCGCUGGGACGUGACUGACGCUGAGACGCGAAAGCGUGGGGAGCAAACAGG